GUCUGGGUAGCUUAGUUGGCAGAGCAGCCGCCCGGCAGGCGGAAGGUCCCGGGUUCGAUUCCCGGCCCAGAAC